UUUUCACGCUGCGGUUUCGCCUGUC
rnacentral:piRNA from 1 species